rnacentral:rRNA from 1 species
GGAUUAGAUACCCUGGUAGUCCACGCCGUAAACGAUGAGUACUAGUUAUUGGAGGUAUUGACUCCUUCAGUGACGCAGCUAACGCAUUAAGUACUCCGCCUGGGAAGUACGGUCGCAAGACUAAAACUCAAAGGAAUUGACGGGGGCCCGCACAAGCGGUGGAUUAUGUGGUUUAAUUCGAAGCAACGCGCAGAACCUUACCAAGACUUGAAAUCCUAGGAAUCCGACGUAAUGGUUGGAGUGCUCGCAAGAGAAUCUAGUGACAGGUGCUGCACGGCUGUCGUCAGCUCGUGCUG